AACGAACGCUGGCGGCGCGCCUAAUACAUGCAAGUCGAGCGAGAAGGUGUAGCAAUACACUUGUAAAGCGGCGAACGGGUGAGGAAUGCAUGGGUAACCUACCCUCGAGUGGGGAAUAACUAGCCGAAAGGUUAGCUAAUACCGCAUACGUUUCCGGAACUUCGGUUUCGGAAAGAAAGCAAUACCGUGGGUAUUGCGCUCCUGGAUGGGCUCAUGUCCUAUCAGCUUGUUGGUGAGGUAACGGCUCACCAAGGCUUCGACGGGUAGCUGGUCUGAGAGGACGAUCAGCCACACUGGCACUGCGACACGGGCCAGACUCCUACGGGAGCAGCAGUAAGGAAUAUUGCGCAAUGGACGAAAGUCUGACGCAGCGACGCCGCGUGGGGGAUGAAGGUCUUCGGAUUGUAAACCCCCUUUCGGGAGGGAAGAUGGAGUGGGUAACCACUUGGACGGUACCUCCAGAAGCAGCCACGGCUAACUUCGUGCCAGCAGCCGCGGUAAU
rnacentral:rRNA from 1 species